rnacentral:lncRNA from 1 species
CAGAGGUUUGUCAAUGAUCCCAUGGCAAAAUCCAAACUCUUAAUAGUUGAUCAAAGUUAGCAUGUUCGUAAAAGGUUUAUAAGGUUUUGGCUUAUCUAUUUACCUCUCCAUCUUCAUUUCUUGCUCUUCUCCCCACAUGUUCACUAGCACCCAAACUCACUCAGUUUAUGGCCUAGCCCAGUAAAACUUUCUCAUUUCCUGUCAUGCACCAGAUCAAGAUUUCCUUCAGAUUUUUACACACGAACUCCCCACUCAACCUAACAAAUGAACACACUCCCACAUGCAUCUGAUCUCUUAACUCCAAUCGUCCUUCAGAGAUCUUGGCUCUCAUGACAUUUUGAAAAGUGAUUCAUCUGAGAAUGUGUUAGAUCCCCCUUGUAGGGGUUUCUAUAAACUCCUUGAACUUCCAUGUCAAACACUUGUCAAAAUUUAUUGUUAUGCCAGUUUAGGCGUCGUUUCCCUAAGUGGAUUUUGAGGUUCCGGAGAACAGGGACCCUGACACCUGUAUUCUCAGUGAUUAACAUGGUGUCAGCAGUAAUAAGCAGUGUUUUAGCUUUUGUGUACUUUUCAAAGCACUGACUGUACAUUAAGUGAUUAAUCCCAACAAAUAACUCAAAGAGGUAGUUUUACUCUCUAAUUUACAGAUGAAAAGAGCAAGGCACAGAGAUUAAGCAAAUUGCCCAAGGUCGGUUUGAAACUAGCCUGAGUGCCCUGCUCCAGAGUACUUGCUCCAAACCAACAUAUUAUACCUGCCCCUGGAACUAGGUAAAUGUUAAGAGUACAAUACAGAUCUUCUAAAUGACUGCACAAAGGAUAGGGUACCUCAGUGGGUGGCAGUUAUGGAAGACAGCCUCUCAAGAGAGGCUGAAAAGACCCCUGUGCCAGCAGGCAGUGGCUCUGUACCCACUGAAAACACAGACUGCCGCACAAGGGUGACCAUGGAUACCUGAUUUUUCUCCAUGAUCAUCACAACUAGCUGAGUGUGCCAUGUUCUUUCCAGGAAGAACCGCUCACAUUGCUAGCAGAGUAUUCUUAUUCUCUUCCUGGCAUGGUAUACUUAUCUAAAAGUAACAAGGCCAUCAUUCUAAAUCAGAAAAAAAAAUGCAUUGUUUACAAACCUUAAAAAUAAUGAAAGGGAUAAAUAAGGAUGAGACAUGGAAAGGGAAUUUUUCCUCUCAGAAAAUUAAAAACAAAUCAUUGCAUGCUCUUAUCUGAAUAAACAGUCUGCGAUUUAUGUGUUAUAGUUUUAUGAGUAGCCUGCUUGCUAAUUCUUAAUACCUUAUCAGUCUUUUAUCCUAUUCAGUGUUGUAUGUGAAGCUCAUUUACCCAGAAGAGCUUUGUCCAAAGAAGGUAGAAAAAUUUUCUUGAAAUGUUUGGCAGACCACAAGUACAGAACAUUUGAAAGAAAAUGUCAUGUUGUGCCCACCUGGGUAUAUUUUUAUAUAUCUUUUUUCCUUCUGAGCCAACCAGUGUGGACUCCACCUGUCUUCAAUAUCUGUUUGAAGAGACUAAAACAGGUUAGAUACCACUAGAUCUCUGUGCUAUCAGACAAUCUAGGGAAUUGCUUGAGAAAGGCAAACCUGAGUGUUUGCUGAAAGGUAUUCACUAGAGGAUAGAUGGGUGUUUUCAGAAAACAGACUAAUCUCAAUAGCCUGUCUCUCUCCUGUAAAAAUCAUCCAUUGCAGGUUACUUAAGGAAGGUAAUAAGUUUUAUAUAAGGGGGGAUUUUGUUUUAGAUCUUAGAAUAAUUUAAUGGGAGGUAGAACUUUCACGCUCUUGUAAGUUCACUGAUAGACGGUGUGAACGGUCCAUACAGGCAAUUGAUUUAGUGACCCAGUAUACUAAAACUAUGCAGCUUAGAAGAGAGUCUCUGGAAUGGAAAGAUCAUCAUUUCCACAAACAAGCAUAUAGCUACUUUUCUGACUUAGGCUGUCUUAAAGAUUUCAUUUUUUAAUUUAUUUUAAACUUCACUUUCUUUUCAUGCUAUUGGGAACAUCAGUAUGAUUCAUAAGGGCUUGAUGCUGUAGCUAGGGUGAGGCUAUGGAAUAGUACAUUGUUUUGUCAAAUCAAUUAGGCAUUGAUUAAUGACUUAUUGAAUUCAUAAACAUUCCAAGUUUUAUUUAAAUUUUAGGGGAAGUGGUGGUAUAUGUGUGCACAGGACACUUCUAAGAAGUACCUCUUCUGCUCUCUAGAAACCUAGACAUCAGACUGUGGUACUGAAAAUAGGCUGAUGAAAAAUGACUCUUUCCUGGACUAUGGUGGUAAUCUCAUUAGUCUCCCCACAUCCACUUUUUCUCACACUCAAUCUGGCCCCAGAGAAACUGAAGUGAUCAGCCUGUAACACAAAUAAGAUUGACGUUCCACCAUUUAAAUCUCCUUAAUGACUUCAAUUUUAUUAGUGGAUAAAUCCAAAUUCUUUAUUAUGGAAUGAAGUGAAGAUCAUUGUUGUCAACUGACAUAGCUUCUUAUGCGUAUCCUCAUAUAACCAAAACAUAAACCACACUGGACUAUUGCCAGAAAACAUCUUAGACUUUUAAAUUUCAUGAUUUUGAACAUUCUUUUAUCAUUGCCUGGAAUGACCCUGCCACAGAUUCCAUGAAGUCUUGACCAUAGUUGAAGCCUGGGGAAGCUCGCAGUCUACUGUGAAACAUAGAUGGCCAAAAUAGACAGCAGAAUGGUAAAGAGAAUUGGAAAUACUGCUGUAAUGAACCUCUAGUAAUGUUGGAUUGGAUAUAACAGAAUUCUUCAUGUACAUAGUUGAGUUCAUAGUUUCUGGGGUGAGAAAUGAAGAGAAACCUGAAAACCAUAACACAAGUACAUGAUUUAAUGCCGAACAUACUUUCAAAUAAAUAAAGAAUGAGAGUUCACCAGUCAUAGAAAUGUGGUGGAGUUACUAUUAAUGGAACUACUUCAUAAUUAUAGGAAUUGAACUCAGGAGGAAUGAGAUGUAAAAAGCAGUGGUGACAAAGAAAAUGGUAAAUACAUGAGUAAUUUAAGCAUGGACAGCAUAAAACGAUAAUUGUGGCUAAUUCCAGAGGGGUAUAAAACCAAGUGGAAUUAAAAUACUUGACAUCUAAGAAUGUAAGAAAAUGAUCUCUGUCAGUGUUCUAAAGUUUUUGAAUUAUCCAAAAGAGAGUAGAGAUACUGCCAAAAUUUAGAUUUUAAGUCAGUUAUUUAAAAUCUUAAGGCUAACAACUUAAAACAACAGAAAUAAAAUGUGUGUUUUUUAUAACAAGAGAAAAGUAAAAUGUAAACGGAGUGGAUUAGUAAAUAGAAGGCUGGAGAAGAGAGAAAAGUAAACUGAAACAAAGAAGAUAUAUAGAAAAGAAAAACAAAAUGAUACAAAUAAAUUCUAAGUUAUCUGUAAUCACAAUAAUUAUAAAUGUAUAUAAUUGUUAUAUAAAAUCAAGGUUCUGGAGUGCCCUGGGGGUUCAGUGGGUAAGAAUCCAUCAUUAUCACGGCUGUGGCUCAGAUCACUGCUGCGACAAGGGUUUGAUCCCUGGCCCCAGAACUUCCACAUGCCGUGGGCAUGACCAAGAAAAAGAGAAUAAAAUAAAAAAUGAAAUAAAGUUUAUUAUUGAAUGAAAUUUUUAAAAAAAUCACCGUUCUUAUAUCCUAUAUAAAAACAUUUAGCCAUAUGUUAUUUAUAAGAAGUAUGCCUAAAAUGCAAUGACCUAGAGAGGCUAAAGGUAAAGGAAUGGAAGGAAGUACAUUGGGAUUAAUAUGCCAUGGAUAUAUCAAUAUCAAAUGAAAUAAACAUUAAGGAUAAGAUAAUACUAAAAAUAUACAUGAAAGAUAUGUAUUAUUGCUGAUUUAUAAUCACCUAACACAUAGAAGCAAAACACAUAACAUCAAAAAUAUUAGAACUUGUACAAAGAAAAAUCACAAAUCUAUGAUCAUGGUAGAAUAUGUUCAUACUUAUCUCUCAGAAACUAAUGGAUCAAGCAGUAAAAGUGUUAAGACUGUAGGAUAUUUGUAUAGCAAAAUUAGCAGGCUUUAUCUAAUAGACAUAUAGAAUCUCACAGCCAGCUGUUAGAGAAUAAAUUUAUUUUUUCAGACUAGAAAUGGACAUUUAUAAAAGGUAGAUACAUCUUUCUCUGAUAGCACUUAAGAUCUCUUAGCAAAUUUCAAGCAUACAGUGCAGUGCUAGUAACUGUAAUCACCAUGCAGUACGUUAAAUCCCCAGAACUUAUUUAUCCUGCAUAACUGAAACUUUAUAUUCUUUGACCAACAUUUCCCCAUUUUCCCCUCCUCCCAGCUCCUGCAACCACCAUUCCACUCUCUGCUUCUAUGACUUUAACUAAUUUAGAUUUGACAUCUAAGUGAGAACACGCAGUAUUGGAUGAUUUUACCUAGUAUGAUGUUCUCCAGCUUCAUCCAUGUUAAAAAAACAAAAACAGUAACUUUGUGAGACUGUGGAUAUGUUAAUUGGCCUGAUUGUGGUGAUUAUUUCACAGUGUAUACAUAUACCUUAAAUGUAUACAGUGUUUAUUUGUCAAUUAUACUUCAACAAAAAUGGAAAAAUAUAUAUUUUGUAAAAAUAAAUAAUGAUAUUCUGUUAAAAAAAUAUGGACCAUGGUUUAGCCCAGUAAAUGUAAAUGUUAACAAAUAUC